rnacentral:rRNA from 1 species
GAUGAACGCUGGCGGCGUGCCUAAUACAUGCAAGUCGAGCGAACAGACGAGGAGCUUACUCCUCUGACGUUAGCGGCGGACGGGUGAGUAACACGUGGAUAACCUACCUAUAAGACUGGGAUAACUUCGGGAAACCGGAGCUAAUACCGGAUAACAUGUUGAACCGCAUGGUUCAACAGUGAAAGACGGUCUUGCUGUCACUUAUAGAUGGAUCCGCGCCGCAUUAGCUAGUUGGUAAGGUAACGGCUUACCAAGGCAACGAUGCGUAGCCGACCUGAGAGGGUGAUCGGCCACACUGGAACUGAGACACGGUCCAGACUCCUACGGGAGGCAGCAGUAGGGAAUCUUCCGCAAUGGGCGAAAGCCUGACGGAGCAACGCCGCGUGAGUGAAGAAGGUCUUCGGAUCGUAAAACUCUGUUAUUAGGGAAGAACAAAUGUGUAAGUAACUAUGCACGUCUUGACGGUACCUAAUCAGAAAGCCACGGCUAACUACGUG